GACGAACGCUGGCGGCGUGCUUAACACAUGCAAGUCGAACGGAAAGGCCCUGCUUUUGUGGGGUGCUCGAGUGGCGAACGGGUGAGUAACACGUGAGUAACCUGCCCUUGACUUUGGGAUAACUUCAGGAAACUGGGGCUAAUACCGGAUAGGAGCUCCUGCUGCAUGGGGGGGGUUGGAAAGUUUCGGCGGUUGGGGAUGGACUCGCGGCUUAUCAGCUUGUUGGUGGGGUAGUGGCUUACCAAGGCUUUGACGGGUAGCCGGCCUGAGAGGGUGACCGGCCACAUUGGGACUGAGGUACGGACCAGACUCCUACGGGAGGCAGCAGUGGGGAAUAUUGCACAAUGGGCGGAAGCGUGAUGCAGCAACGCCGCGUGCGGGAUGACGGCCUUCGGGUUGUAAACCGCUUUCGCCUGUGACGAAGCGUGAGUGACGGUAAUGGGUAAAGAAGCACCGGCUAACUACGUG
rnacentral:rRNA from 1 species